rnacentral:rRNA from 1 species
UGAGUACGAGCGGCUACGGCCGCGAAGUGGAUGAUGUCAAGCUUCCAAGGAAAGCCCUAUACCCGUUAAGGCAUGAUGGCCUGUACCCGAAACCGACACAGGUGGGGUGGUAGAGAAUACCGAGGGGCGCGAGGUAACUCUCUCUAAGUAACUCGGCAAAAUGGCCCCGUAACUUCGGGAGAAGGGGUGCCACCGCGAGGUGGUCGCAGUGAAGAGGCCCAGGCGACUGUUUACCAAAAACACAGGUCUCCGCUAAGUCGCAAGACGAUGUAUGGGGGCUGACGCCUGCCCAGUGCCGGAAGGUUAAGGAAGCUGGUCAGCGCAAGCGAAGCUGGCGACUGAAGCCCCGGUGAACGGCGGCCGUAACAAUAACGGUCCUAAGGUAGCGAAAUUCCUUGUCGGGUAAGUUCCGACCCGCACGAAAGGCGUAACGAUCUGGGCGCUGUCUCGGAGAGAGGCUCGGCGAAAUAGAAUUGUCUGUGAAGAUGCGGACUACGUGCACCCGGACAGAAAGACCCUAUGAAGCUUUACUGUAGCUUGGUAUUGUGCUCGGGCUCGGAAUGCGCAGGAUAGGUGGGAGGCUUUGAUCCAUUGCUUGCGGGUGAUGGUGAGCCACUGGUGAGAUACCACUCUUUCCGAGCUAGAGUUCUAACAGCAACCCGUUAUCCGGGUGCUGGACAGUAUCAGGUGGGCAGUUUGACUGGGGCGGUCGCCUCCUAAAAGGUAACGGAGGCGCGCAAAGGUCUGCUCAGGCUGGUUGGAAAUCAGCCGACGAGUGUAAAAGCAGAAGCAGGCUUGACUGUGAGACCUACAAGUCGAACAGGGAGGAAACUCGGCUUUAGUGAUCCGACGGUUCUGCGUGGAAGGGCCGUCGCUCAACGGAUAAAAGUUACUCUAGGGAUAACAGGCUGAUCUCCCCCAAGAGUUCACAUCGACGGGGAGGUUUGGCACCUCGAUGUCGGCUCAUCGCAACCUGGGGCUGAAGUCGGUCCCAAGGGUUGGGCUGUUCGCCCAUUAAAGCGGUACGCGAGCUGGGUUCAGAACGUCGUGAGACAGUUCGGUCCAUAUCCGGUGCACGCGCAGGAAUAUUGAGAGGAUUUCUCCCUAGUACGAGAGGACCGGGAGGAACGCACCUCUGGUGUGCCAGUUAUCGUGCCAACGGUAAACGCUGGGUAGCCAUGUGCGGAGUGGAUAACCGCUGAAAGCAUCUAAGUGGGAAGCCCACCUCAAGAUGAGUAUUCCCAUGGCAUAAGCCAGUAAGGUCACGGGAAGAACACCCGUUGAUAGGCUCUACGUGGAAGCGCAGUAAUGUGUGAAGCGGAGGAGUACUAAUAGACCGAGGGCUUGACC